rnacentral:rRNA from 1 species
GUAUUGCUAAGUGGGAAACGAUGUGGGAAGGCUCAGACAGCUAGGAUGUUGGCUUAGAAGCAGCCAUCAUUUAAAGAAAGCGUAAUAGCUCACUAGUCGAGUCGGCCUGCGCGGAAGAUGUAACGGGGCUAAGCAAUACACCGAAGCUGCGGCAAUAUCUUUUAGAUAUUGGGUAGGGGAGCGUUCUGUAAGCCGUUGAAGGUGAAUCGUAAGGUUUGCUGGAGGUAUCAGAAGUGCGAAUGCUGACAUGAGUAACGACAAAGGGGGUGAAAAACCUCCUCGCCGGAAGACCAAGGGUUCCUGUCCAACGUUAAUCGGGGCAGGGUGAGUCGACCCCUAAGGUGAGGCCGAAAGGCGUAAUCGAUGGGAAACGGGUUAAUAUUCCCGUACUUCUGACUAUUGCGAUGGGGGGACGGAGAAGGCUAGGUGGGCCAGGCGACGGUUGUCCUGGUUCAAGUGCGUAGGCUUGAGAGUUAGGUAAAUCCGGCUCUCUCUAAGGCUGAGACACGACGUCGAGCUGCUACGGCAGUGAAGUCAUUGAUGCCAUGCUUCCAGGAAAAGCCUCUAAGCUUCAGAUAGUC